GCUGUCAGGGCUGCACGGCGGGAGGUAAGGCAUGGCCGGGUUGGAUGGAUGGGCAGCAGCGCGCCCGCACGGAGCAGCUCGGGGUGCCGGGGUUCCAAGGUACCCAGGCGGGCAUCGGCCCCUCGACACCCCCUCCCCAGUACACCCCAUCCUAUCCGCGCCUUGGGACCAUCUGCCUGCCGAGGCGGGCCAGCAUCCUACGAGCGGCCUCAUACCUUUCCGUUUCUGGCUUGUCCCCUCGGCCUGAGACCCGGAGCUCGCUACUGGGAACUGGCAAAACUGACCUACGGAUAUGGGCGCAGUUAGCCGGUACCUCUUCCUCUAUCUGAGAGUCCGGGACAGGAACUUGGGUCAUCUCAAUGCCGCCUCCCAAGGAUGAUCUCGUAUCUGUGGAUGGGGGCCAUCCUCUCCACCCCUGCCUGUCAGCGCUGGCCGGGAGGGGAGGGGCAUAGGCGGAGCCCCGGGUGUACUAGAGGAAGGGGGCUAGAUACUGUCCAUCUAUAUAGUGUCCACACUCGUACCUGAGCCCGAUACUGAGGACAGAGUAUAGGGUUACACCAGGGACAAGGAGGGUGUAGGACGUAAGCCUGCGUGCGGCUCCUAGCUCGUAGCGUGGGAACGGAACCAGAACCCCCUUCACAGGAUCCUAGCUCACCCCUCCAGCGCAGUGCAGGCCUUAUUUAUCUUUCCCUCCAUUUAGCCGUGCACCUGCACCUAACCUUCCCCAAGCAGUUGACACCCUGCAAAUGUCUACCAGGCAUCUGAGCUAGGCCACACCCUCUUGUUUGUAGGUGCUGGGCAGGAAACAGGCAGGCCUGGCUGAGAUCUGGGUCUGUCCUUAGUACUUAGAGCCAUGGUUACCUAGGGAUCAUCCCAGUGUUUCGCUUUAAGUUUCCCCGGAUUUCCACUCCCGGUCUUGGGGAGGGAUACAGACCUGCUUGUCACCAUAGGUACAACUGAUAACCUUCCCUCCUCCCACCCCCAGGGAGCCCAGGGGAGGCGCCCUCCCUAGGCCACCACUACUCAUGCAGUCCACUCCGCCCUCUGGCCUCUGAUGUCA
rnacentral:lncRNA from 1 species